rnacentral:ncRNA from 1 species
AGAACGGCAAUGAAAGGGACAGUAUAAUUUUUCAAAAUGCUUUCAUAGCGAGCUGGGGAUGGUGUAAGCCUGGCAUGGCAGAAAAAUUAGAAAAUCACCCUUGAGUCCCAGGUCGAAGCUCUAUGAGUGUGUAGGUCCUGGCGGGUUAUUCACGUUAGGGAAUAUCAAAGAGGAUUGUAUUUGCUUAAUACAAUUUAUCGGGGUGGUACCGCGGGAAUAAAACCUUCUCGUCCCUAUU